rnacentral:rRNA from 1 species
CAGCACCUCAAGUGGUCAGGAUGAUUAUUGGGCCUAAAGCAUCCGUAGCCGGCUCUGUAAGUUUUCGGUUAAAUCUGUAUGCUCAACAUACAGGCUGCCGGGAAUACUGCAGAGCUAGGGAGUGGGAGAGGUAGACGGUACUCGGUAGGAAGGGGUAAAAUCCUUUGAUCUAUUGAUGACCACCUGUGGCGAAGGCGGUCUACCAGAACACGUCCGACGGUGAGGGAUGAAAGCUGGGGGAGCAAACCGAAUUAGAUACCCGAGUAGUCC